rnacentral:rRNA from 1 species
UACGUAGGGGGCAAGCGUUGUCCGGAUUUAUUGGGCGUAAAGAGCGUGUAGGCGGUUUGGUAGGUCCGUUGUGAAAACUCGAGGCUACAACCUCGAGACGCCGAUGGAAACCAUCAGACUAGAGUCCGGAAGAGGAGAGUGGAAUUCCUGGUGGUAGCGGUGAAAUGACGCAGAUAUCAGGAAGAACACCGGUGGCGAAGGCGGCGAUCUGGGUCGAUACUGACGCUGAGGUGCGAAAGCGUGGGGAGCAAACAGG